CCUGCUCUACCCCCUCCUCCUGUGCGAUCGAUCUCCUCUCCCCCUGUUGAUCGCACAUCCUUCCUCCUCCCUGCGCCCUCUCCCCCUGCCCCAGAUCGCACGUCUCCCUCCCUGCCCUCCAGACUGAGAGCGAUCUCCCCUUCCCCUCCAGCCACGAUGCGCCCAUGCCGUCGCUCCGCUUCGCCGGGCGCCAUCUCCCUACUGUUGUUCGUGUUCUGCCCAUGCCAAACAGCAAGCAACCACCGACCAAUUCCCCCACAAAAAUACAUCGAUCCCCGGCUGCCCCUGUUCGGAGCAGUAGUACGUCGCCGCCGGUUUUCCUCCACUGAAUUUCAGGUUUUUCCCCGUCGUAGCGCCGUCCGUUCCCGAAGUCGCCGCUGAAGUUCCUCGUGGGUCUAAGCAAGGCAAGU